rnacentral:misc_RNA from 1 species
ACGGAAGAUGGGGAUUAUCAGGUAAAACUACGCAACCUGAUACGUUUCCUUGAAGGUGGCGAUAAGGCCAAGGUAACCCUGCGUUACCGCGGCCGUGAAAUGGCACACCAGGAGUUAGGUAUGCAGUUAUUACGUCGGGUCGAAGAAGACCUGAUUGAGCUGGGUACCGUUGAGCAGCGUCCAAAAAUGGAAGGCCGCCAACUGACUAUGGUCAUUGCUCCGAAAAAGAAAAAGUAGUCUGACAUAAGCGUAAAACCCGUGCUGACUCACUGUGAGCCAGAUACGGGUUUUGUUGUUUAUCAGGACGAAAGAUAAUUAACGAAUGCGUGGGGAUUUAGUAAUGCCUA